CAGUCGCCGCGGUAAUACGUAGGUGGCAAGCGUUGUCCGGAAUUAUUGGGCGUAAAGCGUGCGUAGGCGGUUUGUUAAGUCUGUUGUGAAAUCCCCGGGCUCAACCUGGGAAUGGCAAUGGAUACUGGCAAGCUAGAGUGUGUCAGAGGAUGGUGGAAUUCCCGGUGUAGCGGUGAAAUGCGUAGAGAUCGGGAGGAACAUCAGUGGCGAAGGCGGCCAUCUGGGACAACACUGACGCUGAGGCACGAAAGCGUGGGGAGCAAACAGGAUUAGAUACCCCCGUAGUCCCUGUCUCUUAUAC
rnacentral:rRNA from 1 species